rnacentral:rRNA from 1 species
GACGAACGCUGGCGGCGUGCUUAACACAUGCAAGUCGAACGGAAAGGCCCUGCUUUUGUGGGGUGCUCGAGUGGCGAACGGGUGAGUAACACGUGAGUAACCUGCCCUUGACUUUGGGAUAACUUCAGGAAACUGGGGCUAAUACCGGAUAGGAGCUCCUGCUGCAUGGUGGGGGUUGGAAAGUUUCGGCGGUUGGGGAUGGACUCGCGGCUUAUCAGCUUGUUGGUGGGGUAGUGGCUUACCAAGGCUUUGACGGGUAGCCGGCCUGAGAGGGUGACCGGGCACAUUGGGCCUGAGAUACGGCCCAGACUCCUACGGGAGGCAGCAGUGGGGAAUAUUGCACAAUGGGCGGAAGCCUGAUGCAGCAACGCCGCGUGCGGGAUGACGGCCUUCGGGUUGUAAACCGCUUUCGCCUGUGACGAAGCGUGAGUGACGGUAAUGGGUAAAGAAGCACCGGCUAACUACGUG